AGAGUUUGAUCAUGGCUCAGAUUGAACGCUGGCGGCAUGCUUUACACAUGCAAGUCGAGCGGCAGCGCGGGGGCAACCCUGGCGGCGAGCGGCGGACGGGUGAGUAAUGCAUCGGAACGUAUCCCGUAGUGGGGGACAACCCAGCGAAAGCUGGGCUAAUACCGCAUAUGCUCUACGGAGGAAAGUGGGGGACCCGCAAGGGCCUCACGCUAUGGGAGCGGCCGAUGUCCGAUUAGCUAGUUGGUGGGGUAAAGGCCCACCAAGGCGACGAUCGGUAGCUGGUCUGAGAGGAUGAUCAGCCACACUGGGACUGAGACACGGCCCAGACUCCUACGGGAGGCAGCAGUGGGGAAUUUUGGACAAUGGGGGCAACCCUGAUCCAGCCAUGCCGCGUGCGGGAAGAAGGCCUUCGGGUUGUAAACCGCUUUUGGUCGGGAAGAAAAGGCGUCUCCUAAUACGGGGCGUUCUUGACGGUACCGGCAGAAUAAGCACCGGCUAACUACGUG
rnacentral:rRNA from 1 species